ACUCCUACGGAAGGCAGCAGUGGGGAAUCUUCCGCAAUGGACGAAAGUCUGACGGAGCAACGCCGCGUGUACGACGAAGGCCUUCGGGUUGUAAAGUACUGUCUUCAGGGACGAACGGUAAGUAUGUAAAGAAUGUACUUACAUGACGGUACCUGAGGAGGAAGCCCCGGCUAACUACGUGCCAGCAGCCGCGGUAAUACGUAGGGGGCAAGCGUUGUCCGGAAUCAUUGGGCGUAAAGGGCGCGUAGGCGGAUACUUAAGUCUGGUGUGAAAACCUGG
rnacentral:rRNA from 1 species